AGCGAACGCUGGCGGUAGGCCUAACACAUGCAAGUCGAACGGCAGCGCACUAAGAGCUUGCUCUUCCGGGGGGCGAGUGGCGGACGGGACAGGAAUACAUCGGAACCUACUUUUUCGUAGGGCUUAACGUAGGGAAACUUACGCUAAUACCGCAUACGACCUACGGGUGAAAGCAGGGGAUCUUCUGACCUUGCGCGAUUGAAUGAGCCGAUGUCGGAUUAGCUAGUUGGCGGGGUAAAUGCCCAGGCAGUCGACGAUCCGUAGCUGGUCUGAGAGGAUGGUCGGCCGCACUGGAGGGUAGACGCCCACCAGACUCCUACGAGACGCAGCAGUGUGGAAUAGUAGGCAGUGGGCGCAAGUCUUAUCCAGCCGUACCGCGUGGGUGGAGAAGACGUUCGGGUUGUGAAGCCCGUCUGUUGGGAAAGAAAAGCAUCAGGUUAAGACCCCGCUGUUCUGACGGUACUCAAAGAAUAAGCACCGGCUAACUUCGUG
rnacentral:rRNA from 1 species